rnacentral:rRNA from 1 species
CCUACGGGGGGCUGCAGUGAGGAAUAUUGGUCAAUGGACGCAAGUCUGAACCAGCCAUGCCGCGUGCGGGAAGACGGCUCUAUGUAUUGUAAUCUGUAUUUGUACGAGGGUAAAUCCCGAUACGUGUCUCAGGUUGAAAGUCUCGUUCGAAUCCGGAUCGGCUAACUCUGUGCCAGCAGCCGCGGUAAUACGGAGGAUUCAAGCGUUAUCCGGAUUUAUUGGGUUUAACGGGGUCGUAGGCGGUUCGAUAAGUUAGAGGUGAAGUCCCGGGGCUCAACUCCGGCACUGCCUCUGAUACUGUCGGGCUAGAGUUUAGUUGCGGUAGGCGGAAGGUAUGGUGGAGCGGUGAAAUGCAUAGAGAUCAGACAGAACACCGAUUGCGAAGGCAGCUUACCAAACUACGACUGACGUUGAGGCACGAAAGCGUGGGGAGCAAACAGGAUUAGAUACCCGAGUAGUC